rnacentral:tRNA from 1 species
UAUGGCUCAGUGGUAGAGUGCUUGCCUAACAUGCAUGAAACCCUGGGUUCGAUUCCUCAGUA